rnacentral:lncRNA from 10 species
CAGAGCAAGACUCUGUCACACACACACACACACACACACAAAAAAUUUAUAGAGACAAAGUCUCCCUGUGUUGCCUAGGCUGAUCUUGAACUCCUGUGCUCAAGCGAUCCUUCCACCUCAGCCUCCCAAAAUGUUGGGAUUACAGGCAUGAGCCACUGUGCCUGUCUGAUUUUUGUUUAAUUUUUUUUAUCUUUGAAAUACCUUUUCAUCUCGAACUGAAAAUGCAGCUUUUGGGCCGGACACAGUGGCUCACGCCUGUAAUCCCAGCACUUUGGGAGGCUGAGGCGGGCCGAUCACCUGAGGUCAGGAGUUCGAGACCAGCCUAACCAACAUGGUGAAACCCCGACUGUACUAAAUAAUAAUAAAAGAAAAUUAGCUGGGCAUGAUGGCACAUGCCUGUAAUCCCAACUACUUGGGAGGCCGAGGCAGGAGAAUCGCUUGAACCUGGGAGGCGGAGGUUGCAGUCAGCCAAGAUUGCGCCAUUACAAUACAGCCUGGGCAACAAGAGCGAAACUCAAAAAAACUCAAAAAAAAAAAAAAAAAAAAAAGAAAGAGAAAAAGAAAAGACAAAGAAAAAAGAAAAUGCAGCUUUCAUAUGGGUGCAGGAUUUCUAUAUCAAAGUCCUACUGGCUAGGCACAGUGGCUCAUGCCACACACACACACACACACACACAAAGAAAGGAAAAAAAGAAAAAGAAAAAGAAAGAAAAGUGUAAUCCUAACACUUUAGGAGGCCAAGGCAGGAGGAUUACUUGAGGCCAGGAGUUCAAGACCAGCCUGAGCAACAUAGCAAGACCCUUUCUCUAGAAUUAAAACAAUAUAAAAAAUUGAAAGAGAAAAAGAAAGGCAUACCUAUAGACUAAUGUGAUUCUAGAAAAAGCAAAGUUAUUAUAUGACAAUUUAAAGCAAAAGGAAGGUGAAGGAUCUACCACUGGAGAAUUUAAUGCCAACCAAAAAUGGUUUGGCAAUUUUAGAAAGAGUUUUGGCUUAACAAAUGGCUGGGCGCAGUGGCUCAUGCCUGUAAUCCCAACACUUUGGGAGGCCGAAGUGGGCGGAUCACCUGAGGUCAGGAGUUCAAGACCAGCCUGACCAACAUGGUGAAACCCCCUCUCUACUGAAAAUACAAAAGAAUUAGGCAGGCAUGGUAACAGGCACCUGUAAUCCCAGCUACUCGGGAGGCUGAGGCAGAAGAAUUGCUUGAACCCAGGAGGCGGAGGUUUCAGUGAGCCAAAAUCACGCCAUUUUACUUCAGCCUGGGUAACAGAGCAAGAUUCCGUCUCAAAAAAAAAAUCAAGAUAACAUGAGAAGCAACUUCUGCCAAUGAAGAACCAGUAGAUGUGUUUCCAGAUGCCAUUACUAAAAUCACUGGCCAAGUACACUGGCUCAGGUCUGUAAUCUCAGCACUUUGCGAGGCCAAGGUGGGAGUAUCACUUGAGCCCAAGAGCUUGAGGGCAGCCUGAGCAAUAUAAUGAGACCCUGUAUCUACGAAAAAAAAUUAAAAAAUUAACAGGGUGUGGUGGCACACACAUGUAGUCCCAGCUAGUCAAGAGGCUGAAGCGGGAGGAUAUCGUGAGCCCAGGAGUUUGAGGCUGCAGUGAGCUAUGAUUGCACCACUGCACUCCAGCCUGGGUGACAGCAAGACCCUGUCUCUCUCUCAAAGAAAAAAAAAAAAUAAUUGAGCAGAAAAGACAUCUGCCUGAACAGGUUUUGAAUACAGAUGAAAGUGCCCUAUUCUGGGAAAAAAAAAUGCUACAAAGUACAUUUAUUAGUAAGUAAGAGAAGUGAGUAGCAGGAUUUAAGGCAGGAAGAGAUAGGCUAACUCUACUGUUUUGUGCAAACACUUCUGGGUUUAUGAUCAGGACCGCCCUUAUCUAUAAAGCUGCUAAUCCCCACGCCUUGAAGGGAAAAAGUAAACACCAGCUGCCGGUCUUUUGGUUACACAACAAGAACCCUUUUUCUAGAUUGAUUCCAUUGAUGCUUUGCUGUGAAGUCAGGAAGUAAUUUGCCAGUAAGGUACUGCCUUUUAAAAUUCUUUUCAUAUUGGACAAUGCUCCUGGCCACCCAGACCCCAUGAGUUCAACACCAAAGGGGUCCAGGGGUUCUACUUGCCCUCAAGCAUAAUGUCGUAAUUCAGCUUUUAGAUAAGAGGUCAUAAGGACCCUGAAGGGUCAUUACAAGCAGUACUCUAUGGAAAGUAUUGUCAAUGCCGUGGAAGAGAACACGGCUAGAGAGAACAUCAUGAAAGUCUGGAAGGAUCCCACCAUUGAAGAUAUCAUCGUUAUUACAGAAAAAAAACAUGAAAGCCAUCAGGCCUGAAACAAUAAAUUCCUGCUAGAAAAAAAUUGUGUCAAGAUGUUCUACAUAAGUUAAGGAGGAACAAGUGU